CGUCGCCCUCGCACAUCAAAGCCGCCGCACGUCCAUCCUACGAUCUGCUUCAGGAUCGCUUCAGGAGACGGCACCGCGAUCCCGUUUAGGAGACGCCGGCGAUCACGCCCAGGAUCCGACGGCGGUCCCCUUCUGGACAUGCACAUCCUCUCGUACGCACGACUUGCAUUCAUCCCUGCGCUAAUUUCGUCCCUUCGCCACCGCCGAUCCCUGCGGAGCUUCCCUCCCCAAUCCGAUCUGACGAAGAGAGUGCCAGAUCCGGCCGAGGGAGCCGCCGUACAGCCUCCACAUCGGUGGACCAGCACCUCCUGCCACGGGCGCCGCCGCCACCUCCUGCCUCACGACCCUUUGCCGUGACUCCGCCCCCAAGCGCCACUCCCGCAUGCAACCCUAACCCUAUCCCUCCAUGCCUCGCUGCCUCGCCGAUUGAGCCACGCUGAUGGAGCCCGAGCAGCGGUGGCCGACCCCGUCGCCGCCGCCGAGCCUGUGGACAAGGAGAAGGAGGAGGAGACGGAGGCGGCCGAGGACGAGGAGGACACACUGCUAGACCGCGCGCGGCCUGAUCUCACGGGUCCCUUUGUACAUGUGCAGUUCGUCAAUGGACCAAUGCCUAAUCUCCCCAAGGUUGAUGUUUCACUGGACCCGGUGAAGGAGUUGAGCAGAGUAAUAUCUGAGCGAAAAAAUUGAGGGGCGUGCUUUGGUUGUGCUCUCAGGUUAUUUUACGAGGGUUGUGUGCACUGAACCCCAUUUCUCUGGACCAAGGGACGAUGAAAAAGAUGGGAAUGAGGACGAUGCGACCUAUAGAUGGUUGCUAUGGAUCGGGAGGGUGAUACUGAACAUCAGUUUACUACUAAUCCGGAGUAGUAAUAUUGGAUUACAGGUCAUGGGUUAACUAAUACAUGCAUCAGCUUUGUAUCAUAAAGAUUUCACCAUCCCAAGGUAAUGGAAAUAAGUUCACAAGAUUCUCAUGUUGAGGUUUGUACAAAGAGAUACAAGGCAAUGUCUGUGUGCUGGAAGGAGAAACUCACUGCCAAAGCUAUAAUCCCUGAUGCUAAAGCCUGCAUGUUCAGAUCUGUAGAGUUUACUCAUAUUACUGUAUGGUAUAUUAUUAACUUUCUUUUUAUACUUCAUAUUUGCAACAUAUAUCAUCCAUUUUAGUAUGAUUUUAAUUUUCAGACAUUUAUUAAAAAACUGCAGUUAGGUUCUUCACAGCUAGGAGCUUUUAAUCAAUUGUAGUUAUACAGAAAGAUUAAGAUGGAGGGAGUCAUUAAAAAUCAGCAAUUGUUCCAGCCAACCGGUAGUAGUGGGUGCAGCAUUUGAAGACACCAAAAAGAGCCUUGGACUCUGAUGGAUGUAAUGCCUGCCAUUUAUAUAUGUUGAUUUAGUUCUACUAAACAUAUGCAUGAAAAAAAGUUUGUAUUUGCUGACAUAUAUCAUGUAUUUUAGCAUGAUUUUACUUUUCAGACAUUUACUACAAAACUGCAGUUAGGUGCUUCAGAGCAAGGAACUCAUAAUUUUGCUUUUUCUGCAGAAUGAUUAAUACAGAGGGAGCGCUUUU